rnacentral:rRNA from 1 species
AGAGUUUGAUCAUGGCUCAGAUUGAACGCUGGCGGCAGGCCUAACACAUGCAAGUCGAGCGGUAGAGAGGUGCUUGCACCUCUUGAGAGCGGCGGACGGGUGAGUAAUACCUAGGAAUCUGCCUGGUAGUGGGGGAUAACGUUCGGAAACGGACGCUAAUACCGCAUACGUCCUACGGGAGAAAGCAGGGGACCUUCGGGCCUUGCGCUAUCAGAUGAGCCUAGGUCGGAUUAGCUAGUUGGUGAGGUAAUGGCUCACCAAGGCUACGAUCCGUAACUGGUCUGAGAGGAUGAUCAGUCACACUGGAACUGAGACACGGUCCAGACUCCUACGGGAGGCAGCAGUGGGGAAUAUUGGACAAUGGGCGAAAGCCUGAUCCAGCCAUGCCGCGUGUGUGAAGAAGGUCUUCGGAUUGUAAAGCACUUUAAGUUGGGAGGAAGGGCAUUAACCUAAUACGUUAGUGCUUUGACGUUACCGACAGAAUAAGCACCGGCUAACUCUGUGCCAGCAGCCGCGGUAAUACAGAGGGUGCAAGCGUUAAUCGGAAUUACUGGGCGUAAAGCGCGCGUAGGUGGUUUGUUAAGUUGAAUGUGAAAUCCCCGGGCUCAACCUGGGAACUGCAUCCAAAACUGGCAAGCUAGAGUAUGGUAGAGGGGGUGGGGGGAAUUUCUGGGGUAGCGGGUGAAAUGCGUAGAUAAUAGGAAGGAACACCAGGGGGCGAAAGGCGACCACCUGGACUGAUACUGACACUGAGGUGCGAAAGCGUGGGGAGCAAACAGGAUUAGAUACCCCUGGUAGUCACGCGUAACGAUGUCAACUAGCCCGUUGGGGAGUCUG